CUCCCAACUCCCACGAUGACCUUAACCCUGAUUUUAUACACCUCAAUCUUCGGUUUCCUCCUAUACUCUUUACUUAACCACCUUCUCCUCCGCCGCUAUCCAAAACCGCUACCGCCUGGCCCAAAACCAUGGCCAAUAAUCGGAAACCUCCCCAACAUGGGCCAGAAACCUCACCAAUCCAUCGCCGCCAUGGCCCGAGUUUACGGCCCCCUCAUGCAUCUUAAAAUGGGGUUCGUCCAUGUGGUUGUCGCCGCCUCGGCAGGGGUAGCGGAGCAGUUUCUUAAGGUCCACGACGCCAAAUUUUCCAGCCGGCCACCU
rnacentral:lncRNA from 1 species